AUAUUUUCCCGAAUCAUUUCGAUAUCCUUCUUGAGAGUCGGACUUUGGAAGAGAAAUUACGGGCAGAGUCGGUCAGGGCAAAGAAGAGAUGCAUCGUCUCGUUCUUGGCAACCCUUUCGUGGCGCUUGUCGCACCGAUCCUUCUCGUUGUGCUCGCGCACAAGCUUCGGAGUAAUAGGAGAGCAACUGCGCAAAGAAACAAGAAAGAUCUGCAUCCUGGUACGCCUAGUCCUCAGAUCCAGCCCAGCGGAAACGAUUUCGACGUGUUCUUGAGCUUUAGAGGUGUAGAUACUCGAAACGGCUUUGUCGACCACCUCUAUUGCGGCCUCGUCGGUGCUAGAAUCCGUGUCUUCAUGGACGACAAUGAACUCCGCUUGGGCGAGGGAUUGAGCGAAGAGCUUAGGCAAGCCAUUAGUAACAGCAAUAUUUUGAUCCCUAUUAUCUCUGAGAAUUAUGCCUCUAGCAAAUGGUGCCUUCAAGAAUUGGUUUGCAUGAUGGAGUGCCGAAAACAAUGGGGACACAAAGUGUUUCCCAUAUUCUACAAGGUGGAACCCGCGGGGUUGCGAUCUGAAAUGGGUCGUUUUAGAGAGGCAUUUCGUAAUUACAAGCGGAGGUGUUUUGACCCGGAGGUUGUGGCCAAAUGGAAGGAAGCGCUUGCAGAAGUCAGUUCCUUGAGUGGAUGGGAAUCAGAGAAAUUUGAUAAUGGGAGAGAAGGAGAAUUGAUAAAAUCGGUUGUGCAAAAAGUUUUGAAAGAGUUGAAGGAGUUGGUUGCUGAUGAUUAUUUGGUUGGAAUUGACAGUCCUGUGGAGAAGGUUAUGCGAUUGGUAAACAAGAAUGCUAGUGCUACCUCGUGUGUGGGAAUUUAUGGAAUUACGGGCAUUGGUAAGACUACUCUUGCUAAAGUCAUAUACAAUAAGCUGUCUGAUCUAUUUGUGCAUCGUAGCUUCAUUGCAAACAUCAGGGUAUCAUGCGAACGUCAUGGUAUUAAUUACUUACAAAAUCAAUUAAUCUUUGAUAUGCGGAAAAGAGAAAUUCAAUUUUGCAAUAGCGACGAAAGACUCAAGUACAUCUCGUCUAGGUUUAAAGAUGAGAAAGCCCUCAUUAUUCUUGAUGACGUGGAUACCACUAGUCAGUUAGAGGCUUUGGCUGGAAAUCCUUACUGGUUUGGCUCAGGAAGUAGGAUCUUUGUUACCACUAAAAAUGAGAGUGUUCUUGAUAGAGUGAACAUCAAGUACAAGCAUGAGCAAAUGGAUGAGGAGCAAUCUCUUGUCCUAUUUUCUAGACAUGCAUUUCGAAGAGACCAUCCUCCAUAUGAAUUUUUAGCUCUCUCUCGUCUUGUGGUAUCUGCAACGGAAGGGAUUCCCUUGGCUGUCAAGUUUGUAGGUUCAUUUUUGUGUGAAAAACCAUCACGAAUAUGGAGAGAAAUACUACGAAAGAUGCAAAAUAUACCUCAUAUGGCUGUGCAAGAAAAGUUCAGGAUAAUUUGUGAAGAAAUGGGGGAGGAUCGAAAAAAGGCGGAAGAUGCAUCUUCCGCUGCUACGCCUUGUCCUUCCAUCUUGCCAAGUGAAAACGAUUACGAAGUGUUCUUGAGUUUUAGAGGUGUAGAUACUCGAAGAGGCUUCAGCGACUACCUCUACUGCAGGCUCGUCGAUGUUGGAAUCCGUGUCUUCAGGGACGACGAUGAGCUCCGCAGGGGCGAGAGUUUGAGCGAAGAUCUUAUGCGAGUCAUCAAGAACAGCAAUAUUUUGAUCCCAAUUAUCUCUGUGAAUUAUGCUUCUAGCAAAUGGUGCCUUGAUGAACUUGUUGAAAUGAUGAAGUGCAAGAAUUGCUCAGGGCACAUAGUGUUACCUAUAUUCUACGAUGUGGAACCUGCGGAUGUGCGAGAUCAAAAGGGUCAAUUUGGAGAGGCAUUUCAUUAUUCCGGUAGGCGUUUCAAUCAAAAGUCUACCGCAGAAUGGAAGCAAGCGCUGAUAGAAGUCAGUUCCUUACAAGGAUGGCAAUUUGCUAAUGGGCCUGCGGGACAAUUGAUGGAAUCACUUGUGCAAAAAGUUUUGGACGAGUUGAAGAAAGCAGUGGACUUGGAUGAUCUUGAGAAUUUGGUCGGAAUUGAUAGUCAUGUGGAGGAGGUUAUGAAAUUAAUAAAUAAGUGUUCUGGAGCUACCCUAUGUGUGGGAAUUUACGGAAUAGGGGGUAUCGGUAAGACGACUCUUGUUAAUGUCAUCUACAACAAGCUAUUAAAUCAAUUUGAGCAUUGUAGCUUCAUUGCGACAUUAGGAAUCAUGCAAUCGCAAUGGUAUUAGUUACUUGCAAAAUCAAUUAAUCAGUGAUAUAUUGCGAAGAAAUAUUCGAUUGCAUAACAAGGAUCACGGAAUCCGCAUCAUCUCAUCCAAGCUUAAAGAUAUGAAAGUCCUCAUUAUUCUAGAUGAUUUGGAAACCACCGAUCAGUUAGCGGCUUUGGCUGGAAAUCUUGAAUGGUUUGGCUCAGGAAGUAGGAUCUUUGUUAUCACUAGAAAUGAGAGGGUUCUUGAUAGGGCCAGAGUGGACAUCAAGUACGAGCAUGAGGAAAUGGGUAUGGAACAAGCUCUGAUCCUAUUUUCUAGACAUGCAUUUCGAAGUGACUUUCCUCCUAGUGAGUUUUCAAUUCUCACUCAUAUAGUGGUAUCUACAAUAGGAGGGCUUCCCUUAGUUCUCAAGGUUGUAGGUUCAUUUUUGUGUGGAAAACCAGCAGUGCUAUGGGAAAAAACAAUAGUUAACAUGCGAAAAAUACCGCAUGAGGAAGUGGCAAGAAAGUUGAUGGUAAGUUAUGAAGAAUUGGAGGAGGAUCAAAGACAAAUGUUCCUGGAUAUAGCUUGUUUUUUAAUUGGGAGUGAUGUAAGAGUUGCCUACUACAUGUGGGAUGCUUGGGGCUUUUUUGCGAGGCAAGGAAUUGAAGUACUGAGAUCUUUGUUAUUCAUAAGUAUUGGAGAUAAUCACGAGUUCAGAAUGCAUGACCAAAUGAGAGAUCUUGCCAGGGAAAGUGUGCUUGCAGAAUACUGCUGCAAACCUCAUAAACGUAGUAGAUUGUGGCAUUACGAGGAAGCCUUGGAAGUGCUACAGAGCAAAAGGGGAACUGGAAGGAUUCAAGCCAUUUGUCUUGAGCAAGGCAACUCUAAUUAUAUAAUUGAUCAAGCGAGCCGCACAUUUACGGAUGAACCAUUUAGAAACUUAUCGAACUUGAGGUUUCUUCACAUGAAUGCUGUGAAUCUUGUCGGAGAUUUUAGUAAAUUAUUUUCUCAGUUAAGAUGGCUCAAAUGGGGGAAUUGUCCCUCAAAUUUUGAAGCAAGCAACUUUCAUGCGGGGGAAUUAGUCAUACUCGAUUUGUCAGGAAGCGCGAUUUCAGAUGUCUGGCAAGGAUGGCAUUCAAUGAUGAAGGCAGAAAAGCUGAAAGUUCUCAAUCUCACAAGUUGCCAUUCCUUAAAAGGGACUUCUUACCUCUCAGCUUUUAAAAGAUUGGAGAUUUUGAUCCUCAGAGAUUGUAGCGCAUUGGAGCAAAUUGAUAAUUGUAUUGGAGACAUGGAGAACCUCAUUUCCCUGGACUUAAGUGGAUGUUCUCUUCUUGAGAGGCUCCCGCUUCAAAUGGCUAAAUUAGAACAGUUGAAGGAGCUUCUUCUAGAUGAAACUGCAAUACAAGAAAUUCCUUCCUUCAUCAGUUCUCUAAAAAAGCUGGACACUUAGUGCCAGGGAUUGCAAAUCAUUAAUUGGACGUCCGGUCUCAAUAGGCAGUUUGGGGAAUUUGUCGACCCUUGUUUCAUCAGGCUACGUUGAGAUUGCAACACUUCCGAACGGCAUCGGAUUCCUUGAGAAUUUGUGGUGCUGGUCAUUGGGAAGCUGCCACCAAUUGAGAGAGAUUCCCAAUUCGAUUGGCAAGUUGAAAUUGUUGACUAGGUUGGACUUGAGUGGAUGUUCGCGUAUUGUGGAGCUGCCGCUUCAAAUGGGUGAACUAAAACAAUUGAAGAAACUACUGCGAUACAAGAAAUUCCUUCCUCCAUCGUUUCUCUAGAGAAGCUGGAGGAAGAUCAAACUAUGUUUUCUGAUAUUCCUUCCUACACGGACUAUCUAUUGGAGCUAGAGACGCUCAUUCCCAAGGACUGCGAAUUAACUCGAUAAGCUGUUUAGUGAAUUUGCUGACCCUUCUCUUAUCAAGCUGUGUGGAGUUUUUUGGAUUCCUUGACAUCAUUGGGUUUCUUGUGAAUCUACGGUGCUUGUCAUUGGGAAACUGCCAUGAAUUGAGAGAGAUCCCUAACUCAAUCGGGAAGUUGGAAUUGUUGACUCAACUGGACUUAUCAUGGACAAGGAUCACGGAAUUGCUUGAAGGAACUUCUGGGUAUCCGUAACAGUAGCAUAGAAACGCUACCGAUGGUAUUGGAAGGUUGGAAAAAAGUCUUGAGUUAUAUGCAUGAUGGUGCUCAAAUUUGGGAGGGAAUACCAAGCAUCCUUAAUCUUUCUUCUUUCAAGCCUUGUACAUUUUGAUUUAAUGCCCAAUAAUCUGGAAUUCUUGUGGAUUUUUAUUCAAAUGAGUGGUUUGUGAUUUAGGUUUGGGUUUUCAUGAUGAAGUUGAAGCUGCAAUGUCAUUCCUGAUCUCUGCUCAUGGUGAAGUUUAGGACCCUGUUGGUGCUGUUGACGAUAGUGUUAUCUGCACAGCUUCCUUAAAUGGCGCCCUAUCUACUGCAGAUGCUCGGAAGAUUGUUAGAAGCAGCAGUAUUGAAUAACAUGGUGAUUCGUAACGUCUGGAAAUUACAGAUUGUUCCGCAGAAAAUUUGGUAUUUUUAAAAAUAUUUUCAGGAAGGUAUUUUCCUGAAAAUGAGAACAUUUUGUGAUAUUUGGCCGAAAUGUAAAAAUGAACUGUCAAUUAUUUUCCUUCAUUUGAAAAGGAAAACUUGAUUUUACUUUGUUAAA